CAGUAGCCGCGGUAAUACGGAGGGUGCAAGCGUUAAUCGGAAUUACUGGGCGUAAAGCGCACGCAGGCGGUUUGUUAAGCCAGAUGUGAAAUCCCCGGGCUCAACCUGGGAAUGGCAGUGGAUACUGGCUCGCUAGAGUGUGUCAGAGGAUGGUGGAAUUCCCGGUGUAGCGGUGAAAUGCGUAGAGAUCGGGAGGAACAUCAGUGGCGAAGGCAGCCAUCUGGGACAACACUGACGCUGAGGCACGAAAGCGUGGGGAGCAAACAGGAUUAGAUACCCCCGUAGUCCCUGUCUCUUAUAC
rnacentral:rRNA from 1 species